UACGAAGGGGGCUAGCGUUGUUCGGAAUCACUGGGCGUAAAGGGCGCGUAGGCGGCCGUUCAAGUCGGGGGUGAAAGCCCAGGGCUCAACCCUGGAAUUGCCUUCGAUACUGUUUGGCUAGAGACCGGAAGAGGUUAGUGGAACUGCGAGUGUAGAGGUGAAAUUCGUAGAUAUUCGGAGGAACACCAGUGGCGAAGGCGGCUCACUGGUCCAUUACUGACGCUGAGGUGCGAAAGCGUGGGGAGCAAACAGG
rnacentral:rRNA from 1 species